GGAUCAGUUCGCUGGUCGUGCCUCUGGUAUGUACUGGUGUUACUGGUUCCUCCCUUCUGACGAACUGUCAUGUCAUUUAUUUGGUGUGGCAGGGAAUCAGGACUGUUACUUUGAAAAAAUUAGAGUGUUCAAGGCAAGCGUUUGCUUGAAUAUUGCAGCUGGGAAUAAUAACAAAGGCUUCGGGCCAUGUUGUUGGUUUCACGGACUGAAGA
rnacentral:rRNA from 1 species